ACCUAUUAUAUUCUUAACAUUUUUCCACGCGUCUCCACCUGUUUCCGUCUAGUCAAAUUGAAAAUCGCUUUACAAUAAUUUAGAUAUGUGAAUGGGACUUUAUCCGAAUCUUUUCCUGUAUCUCGUAGGUGAUAUAAUCAUUAACGAGUUGUCUAUGAUAAUUUCUAUGUUCGCUAUAGGAAAUUACAGAGGACGUAAGAAACACUCUGAUUUUUUGGCAGAGAGGAAAUCUUUUCUGUUCUUAAUCCAUGCUGUAUACUCGUCUUUUGUCAAUGAUAGUGACAAAAUGAUGAAUGCUGUGAGGGCGAAGAAGAGUAUAGAAAAAUGAAGUAUACCAAUUAACCGGUAGUGGCGCUAUAUACUAAAGUCAAUAUGGCCGCGAUCAAAUUGCUUCACGCGGCUUCACGAAAUUUCGUAUCCAUAGAAUAUAUGCCAGUGGCUCAUGCUGAUAUCCGAAUCCAGUUUCGGGAUUCCGAACGAUACGAGUAUGUCGAGAGUCCAUUUGAACUUCUUCCGGUUCAUUUCGAAUAAGCCUUAUAAAGAAUGAAAUAUAGAGUGUGCGUCGGAGUAGGAGUGGAUGCAUGCUCAAAUUAACAUUCAAAUUUUCAAGUUCAAACAUUAAAAAUUUAGACAUAUUAUAUUACAUUUUACAAUUUAGACAUAAUAUAAUUACUUAAUAAAAAGAAAUUUUAUUGAAUCAAUAAAAAAAGAUUUUCUUUGAUAAUUCAUAUUGAAGCAGUAUCAAUAGUUUCAUACACGGGCAGCUUAAUAAAAAUAAAAAAUAGAAAAAAUAUUAAAUUUCAAAGUUCUCCCGCAUUUUCUAAACGUUUAAUUACUUUCCUAUAUUCUUCUUCUAAACUGUUGUAUUCUUGGUCAAGAGUUUGCAUACGUUGCUCCAAUGUAGGUAGAGUGAUGUUCAUACGUUUAUCAAUGUUCUUCAACGCACAUUCCAAUUUUACCAAAUCAUUUUGUUCGCGUCUGUAUGGAAUAUUCAAUCUCCUUUUUAUAUCUAAUCUAUAUCUACGAUAUUCUUGCUCGUUUGCUAAAUCUGUUGCCCGUAAUCUUAAAAUUUCAUAUACUCUGCGAGCUUGUUUCUAAAAAUGAAAAUUAAUAUUUUAAUCUAAAAAUAUCUUUUAUAGUGAAAAAAAUAUAAAACAUACGUUAUUAAUCUUGAAUUUUUCUUUAGCCUCUUCACCCAUCGCUUUACUAUAACCUUGAAGUAGAUAUUCUCGUGAAAAACUAGAUAAUUUACUGCAAUUCAUUGCAUCCACAUAAUCUCUUAACCGUUGAAACGUCGCGGAAGGGUUCUCAACUACAACAAUGAUGACAAUGCCUUACCAAAAUGAACUAGAUUUACUGAAAUAAAAGUAUUUAAUCAGGCCCCACUUUUGUUUUAUUCUUUUCAAAUACAAAUUUGGAUUUUUAAUGAUUA